GAAAGCAUUUGCCAAGGACGUUUUCAUUAAUCAAGAACGAAAGUUAGGGGAUCGAAGAUGAUCAGAUACCGUCGUAGUCUUAACCAUAAACUAUGCCGACUAGGGAUCGGGUGUUGUCCUUUUUUUGGCGCACUCGGCACCUUACGAGAAAUCAAAGUUUUUGGGUUCUGGGGGGAGUAUGGUCGCAAGGCUGAAACUUAAAGGAAUUGACGGAAGGGCACCACCAGGAGUGGAGCCUGCGGCUUAAUUUGACUCAACACGGGGAAACUCACCAGGUCCAGACACAAUAAGGAUUGACAGAUUGAGAGCUCUUUCUUGAUUUUGUGGGUGGUGGUGCAUGGCCGUUCUUAGUUGGUGGAGUGAUUUGUCUGCUUAAUUGCGAUAACGAACGAGACCUUAACCUACUAAAUAGUGCUGCUAGCUUUUGCUGGUAUAGUCACUUCUUAGAGGGACUACCGAUUUCAAGUCGGUGGAAGUUUGAGGCAAUAACAGGUCUGUGAUGCCCUUAGACGUUCUGGGCCGCACGCGCGCUACACUGACGGAGCCAGCGAGUAUUAACCUUGGCCGAAGGUCUGGAAUCUUGUGAACUCCGUCGUGCUGGGGAUAGAGCAUUGUAAUUAUUGCUCUUCAACGAGGAAUUCCUAG
rnacentral:rRNA from 1 species